UGCGGGGACGGGGGCAGGGCGGCGUCUGCUGCUGCUGCGGGGUGGCCCCCUCCUCAGGCCACCCUCUCCCUGCGGCUGGGGACUCCAGAUGGACGAGGGCCCACCCCACCCGGCGCUUCCCCGUGCGACCCGGUGUCGCGGCGGGCGGCGAGGCCAGCGGCUCCCCGUCGCCCCUACCUUACCUUCCCUGUCUUUCUCGUCCGCCAUCUUGCUGCGGAGCCGGUCGCCUGGGAGAUGCCUAACGAUAACCUCGGCCGCGGUGUCCCGGCCUGCUCAGCGCCCCGCGGCGAGCCUGGCCUGGAGGAGGGGCCGCUCCGAAUUCUGGGGGAGGAAGACCCUUGGGCGGGGCGGGGAGAAGCCUCCGAGCGCGCGCCGCGUCCCCGCUUCCCGCCACGACCCUCGCGCUGGGGGAAGACCAGAAGCCGCGUCUGCCACCCGGCCCCCAACUUAGUCCCUGCAGACCCGAGGCCGGAGCCCGACUAGUCCCGGGUCUAGCAGUGUUACUUCAUCACACGGUCCCCAGCCCCUCCUUUCCCUUAUUUCUCAUCCAUUUGGGGACAGCACGCGCGCGCACACACCCUCGCCCCUCCUGUCCUGUUUGUGCGACGUGGCGUUGCUCGAUUUUUGUUGUGAACUGCAGAUUUUGAAAAGCGCCGGAGAGCUAGGUGAAGAGCUGGGCUCCCGAGGGGGUGACAGAACCAGCCCGCGGCCCGGCCUCCUCCUCCCGCUUCCCAUCGGCCCGGCUGCUGCAGAACGGCCGCGCCUGCCCUCCCGGUUUCUCCCGUCCAGUCCUCACGGUCCUUUCCCAGAGAAAGCGGCAGCACAGCCUAUGACAACUAAGCUGAAACGGAAAAACUGGGCCGGGCGCAAGAGGAAACCAGAGCCAUUCGACUAUUAUUACUAGAGGAGAGGAAUAGCUGUAGAAAAACAUGCGCAAAAUAGGCACAAACAUUGCGUCGUCAAGGCUGCAAUGUCUCAUACAAAAUAGAAGGUUCUCAUAGCAACAAAAACGUGCCCAUGUUGUGCUCAGUGUUAACAUGCGUUAAAAUGUUCUUAGUUGUGAAAUUUGACAUGACCGCUGGUUAAAGUUGCAAUGGAAGUUUUAAAUCCUGCUUUCCGGAAACUCUGCAGCCAUAGCAUGAGGUUAAAUUUUUCUUAUUUUCAGGACAAGUUUACUCUACUGGAAUAUAGUAAAGCUCUUUUUAUAAAGAGCUUUGAAUAAAAUACCUAACGAUGUGGUUCAAACGAACACAUUUUCAAAACUAAUCUUAAAUGGUAUUUCAGUGCAUAUGUUAUGUAAAAGCAAUUUAUAAACUAAACUAAAUUUUAAGAGCCUUCAAAAUACAAAGUACUCGUAUUUAAUGACUUAACAGUUUUAAUGCUUUUAUUCUGUUUCUAUAAUCUCUCAGGAAAUCCUGACUAUAUUUUUAUUAAAAUAACUUUUUCUGUAGAAGAUACCCAUUUGGUGCUGUGAUCAGCAUUCUGCCUGAAAUUGAAUAUAAACAACUGAAUCAUUACAAAAUGGCUCAUGUUAGAAGAUACUUAAAACGAAUACAAUCUUGUACAGUAAAUUUUUAACACCCCAAAAUAACGAAAAGUAAUUAUUAGCAUUCAUUUAUAUCUACAUCUCAGUCAAUAUGAUCUAAAUAUUUGUGUUUAAAGACUCCCCCUCUCCAUAUAGAUUACGAAGGGCUUUGAAAUAAGUGUAGGAAACCCUAAGCUUGGUCUCAGGCUUGCUAUUCAUUCACUAUGCUUUUUCGUCUGCUGUUUACAGUUUCCUUUUUCUGGAGUGUCUGUCUCUGCUCUCUCCCCCGCCAUCAUUUCAGCUUCCCACAAACACACAUUUGUCCCCUCCUGGUUGUCAUGCAGGAUGACUGUCUUUGUUUU